rnacentral:misc_RNA from 1 species
UUUCCGUAGGUGAACCUGCGGAAGGAUCAUUGUCGAAACCUGCCCAGCAGAACGACCCGCGAACUUGUAUAAACAACCGGGGGCGGGGGGCGUUCUCGCCCCGUGCCCCCGAACGGCGGGGAGACACUCGUGCCUUCUUGCCGAACAACGAACCCCGGCGCGGUCUGCGCCAAGGAACUUCAACUAAAGAGUGCCUCCGGUCGCCUCGGAAACGGCGUGCGUGCCGGGGGCGAGUCUUGUGCAAAACCAUAACGACUCUCGGCAACGGAUAUCUCGGCUCUC